AUUCAGGUAAACCUACUCGGAGUCCAGAGGCCAGGCGACCACCCACACAAUCCCGUGUCCCAUCGACCAGGCGAACCAGGCUCCGUCCGGGGAAAAGUCCACGCUCCAGGUCUCGCAUCCCGCCCGGCCCUCCAGGGACGGAGGUCUCCUUGUCUUCAGCUCCAGGAUGAGAGCCGGGUCUGAGGCUGGAGGGAGGACGGACAGGGAGGACGUGAACUCAGCGGUUGACAGAUUCAUCAUCCUUCACAAAUCAAUCACACAUUAGUCUCUUACAUGUCCUCUGGAGCUCCGCGUUGUUUUCCGUGGAGCACAUCGUGUGUGUUUUUCUCUCUUCACAUUCUUCUUCGUGUCUCUGAGUGAGUCGUCCCUGUUCGAGUCUCUCCUCCCAUCUAAGGAUCCAGAAGGACACUCUGGAGUCCUCUCUCUCUCUCUUCCUGACGACUGUACGCUGUGUGGAAAAUGCGCGACAGAGAAAACAAAAUGUUCAGCUGACUUCCUGUUUGUCUGACUCACUCUGUCCCAUUGGCUGCGUCCUCACGUUUUUGUGGUUAUUACGUAAGAUCAAAGAGCCAGGCCACGCCCCCUUGUUACAUUUUAAUACAUGAGAAGAAUCUGUGAUGUGCAGAAAUAGCACGAGGACACAUAAUUGUGUCAUCAAAAUGAUGUCAUCAUCAUAAAAUGUGGGGCAGAUAGUUUGUUCUUAAUAAUGUAGGUCAGGUUAGAUCAUUCAUUCACAAAGAAUGCUGUUAUUAAUUGAAAUAAUACAACAUGUGCCAACAUGUCCUCUGGACUACACAGAUAAUGUGUUGACAUAGUACCAGUACUUACUGACUUUAAGAGAAUUAAGCUAUGACAGCCACAUCAAGCCUGAGGCAAAGAAGGUAGAAUACAAUGAACCAUUCUAUUACAAAAAGAAAAAAAAAACUUUAUUUCCAGAUUAAAAGUUAAUAUUUUUCACUGCCUGGACUGACAGCUUAUGUGACAAACUGCAGGCUGCAUAAACAUUACAAAAAAAGUGACAGCAUGGACAGAGGAGACGGCAGACAGAGUGAUGAAGCAGAAGAGGAAAGAGUUGAAAAUAACGUCUCUCAACUUCAUCUACACACCUUUAAAUGUAUGAAACGGGUCGUAGAAAUCUUACCCGAUGGGAUUCGGUGAAUCUGGACGAGUGUUGUUUGGUGGCCGUUGGUUAUCGGAGGCAGUCGGGGAACGGCAUCUUGAAAAAUCUGCUCGUCAUCCGACUCCACCAGACUCAGCACAUCGCCUCUGUCCUCCUCCAUUUGCCUACAGAGCAGAGAUAGUAUU